AGAGUUUGAUCCUGGCUCAGGAUGAACGUUGGCGGCGUGCUUAACACAUGCAAGUCGAGCGAAGCACUUUUUUAGAACUCUUCGGAGGGAAGAGAGGGUGACUUAGCGGCGGACGGGUGAGUAACGCGUGGGCAACCUGCCUUACACAGGGGGAUAACAAUUAGAAAUGAUUGCUAAUACCGCAUAAGACCCCAGUACCGCAUGGUACAGAGGUAAAAACUGAGGUGGUGUAAGAUGGGCCCGCGUCUGAUUAGGUAGUUGGUGGGGUAGAAGCCUACCAAGCCGACGAUCAGUAGCCGACCUGAGAGGGCGACCGGCCACAUUGGGACUGAGACACGGCCCAAACUCCUACGGGAGGCAGCAGUGGGGAAUAUUGCACAAUGGGGGGAACCCUGAUGCAGCGACGCCGCGUGAGUGAAGAAGUAUUUCGGUAUGUAAAGCUCUAUCAGCAGGGAAGAAGAUGACGGUACCUGACUAAGAAGCCCCGGCUAACUACGUGCCAGCAGCCGCGGUAAUACGUAGGGGGCAAGCGUUAUCCGGAUUUACUGGGUGUAAAGGGAGCGUAGACGGCAGGGCCAAGUCUGGAGUGAAAGCCCGGGGC
rnacentral:rRNA from 1 species